rnacentral:rRNA from 1 species
UUCGAUUAGAGUUUGAUCAUGGCUCAGAUUGAACGCUGGCGGCAUGCCUCACACAUGCAAGUCGAACGGCAGCAUGAUCUAGCUUGCUAGAUUGAUGGCGAGUGGCGAACGGGUGAGUAAUACAUCGGAACGUGCCCUGUAGUGGGGGAUAACUAGUCGAAAGAUUAGCUAAUACCGCAUACGACCUGAGGGUGAAAGUGGGGGACCGCAAGGCCUCAUGCUAUAGGAGCGGCCGAUGUCUGAUUAGCUAGUUGGUGAGGUAAAGGCUCACCAAGGCGACGAUCAGUAGCUGGUCUGAGAGGACGAUCAGCCACACUGGGACUGAGACACGGCCCAGACUCCUACGGGAGGCAGCAGUGGGAAUUUUGGACAAUGGGGGCAACCCUGAUCCAGCAAUGCCGCGUGUGCGAAGAAGGCCUUCGGGUUGUAAAGCACUUUUGUCCGGAAAGAAAUCGCACUUACUAAUAUUAGGUGUGGAUGACGGUACCGGAAGAAUAAGGACCGGCUAACUACGUGCCAGCAGCCGCGGUAAUACGUAGGGUCCAAGCGUUAAUCGGAAUUACUGGGCGUAAAGCGUGCGCAGGCGGUUGUGCAAGACCGAUGUGAAAUCCCCGGGCUUAACCUGGGAAUUGCAUUGGUGACUGCACGGCUAGGGUGUGUCAGAGGGGGGUAGAAUUCCACGUGUAGCAGUGAAAUGCGUAGAGAUGUGGAGGAAUACCGAUGGCGAAGGCAGCCCCCUGGGAUAACACUGACGCUCAUGCACGAAAGCGUGGGGAGCAAACAGGAUUAGAUACCCUGGUAGUCCACGCCCUAAACGAUGUCAACUAGUUGUUGGGGAUUCAUUUCCUUAGUAACGUAGCUAACGCGUGAAGUUGACCGCCUGGGGAGUACGGUCGCAAGAUUAAAACUCAAAGGAAUUGACGGGGACCCGCACAAGCGGUGGAUGAUGUGGAUUAAUUCGAUGCAACGCGAAAAACCUUACCUACCCUUGACAUGCCACUAACGAAGCAGAGAUGCAUUAGGUGCUCGAAAGAGAAAGUGGACACAGGUGCUGCAUGGCUGUCGUCAGCUCGUGUCGUGAGAUGUUGGGUUAAGUCCCGCAACGAGCGCAACCCUUGUCUCUAGUUGCUACGAAAGGGCACUCUAGAGAGACUGCCGGUGACAAACCGGAGGAAGGUGGGGAUGACGUCAAGUCCUCAUGGCCCUUAUGGGUAGGGCUUCACACGUCAUACAAUGGUGCAUACAGAGGGUUGCCAAGCCGCGAGGUGGAGCUAAUCCCAGAAAAUGCAUCGUAGUCCGGAUCGUAGUCUGCAACUCGACUACGUGAAGCUGGAAUCGCUAGUAAUCGCGGAUCAGCAUGCCGCGGUGAAUACGUUCCUCGGGUCUUGUAGACA